UGGGGUGAAAAUUUUCCCAUAUAUCACAACAGAUUUGAACAGUGGCGGUAGGAUCUGUAAAUCCAAAGUGGGAAUUCCGUAACACUUGCCUACGAAGUGUGACAUUCCUACAAUACUCUUUAAUUUCCUUUGAAAUGUUUGGACACCAAAGGCCGGUGCUAUUGAAGUACAGAAUGCGUCACGGUGCAUUUCUCUAUUUCGACCACCUCGACCAAUAUGCUGGAUACAGAGUGGAACAUUGGGACUCUCAAAUUGUCCAUCACCACCAUACAUGCUGUAUCCGAAAAUUCUCUCAACCAGCUCAGAACCAUAUCCCACCCAAUCAAUGUUUCCACAGGAAUAAAUUAAGGUGGGUCGCUACUUGAGUGACGUCAUCACCGAUAGUUAUCUAUAUUCUUUUAGAAAUUUGAUCUUUACUGAUUAGACGCAGAACCUUGAGGAGUUUUAAAUAAUACUGCAUUGGUAGCAGACUACUAUGUAAUUGCAUGUUUAUGAGGUUUUGAUCUUUUACUAUUAUACGCUUCGGAAUAUUAUAUAUGUAUAAGCAUUGCAGUAUAUACAUGUCACACAGUUUUUACAAUCUUAUCAUAGAGAUAUUUUUUUGAAAUAAAGACUACUAUCGUUCAAAACAUACAAACUAGCCGACUAAGAAAAAUGUUUGAAGAGAAAAUUAUAUAUGACAUUUUUUCAUGGUCAUGUUAUUUGGGCAAA